GGGAUAUUGCACAAUGGGCGCAAGCCUGAUGCAGCAACGCCGCGUGCGGGAAGACGGCCUUCGGGUUGUAAACCGCUGUCCUUGGGGAAGAAACAAAUGACGGUACCCAAGAAGGAAGCCACGGCUAACUACGUGCCAGCAGCCGCGGUAAUACGUAGGUGGCAAGCGUUGUCCGGAUUUACUGGGUGUAAAGGGGGCGCAGGCGGGAAGCUAAGUUGGAUGUGAAAUACCGGGGCUCAACUCCGGAGCUGCAUCCAAAACUGGUUUUCUUGAGUGGAGUAGAGGCAAGCGGAAUUCCGAGUGUAGCGGUGAAAUGCGUAGAUAUUCGGAGGAACACCAGUGGCGAAGGCGGCUUGCUGGGCUCUAACUGACGCUGAGGCCCGAAAGCGUGGGGAGCAAACA
rnacentral:rRNA from 1 species